UGCAGUCGCACGAGAACGCUUCAGCUUGCUGAAGUUAGUAAAGUGGCGCACGGGUGAGUAACGCGUGGGUAAUCUUCCCCCGAAUCGGGGAUAACAUUGCGAAAGCGAUGCUAAUACCGGAUAACAUCUCAAAUACCCCGGUGUUUGAGAUCAAAGGUGGCCUCUACAUGUAAGCUACUGUUUGGGGAUGAGCCCGCGUACCAUUAGCUUGUUGGUAGGGUAACGGCCUACCAAGGCUGCGAUGGUUAGCUGGUCUGAGAGGAUGAUCAGCCACACUGGAACUGACACACGGUCCAGACUCCUACGGGAGGCAGCAGUGAGGAAUUUUGCGCAAUGGGGGAAACCCUGACGCAGCAACGCCGCGUGAGUGAUGAAGGCUUUCGGGUCGUAAAGCUCUGUCAAGUGGGAAGAACCCACAUGGUACUAAUAUCACCAUGUGCUGACGGUACCACUGAAGGAAGCACCGGCUAACUCCGUG
rnacentral:rRNA from 1 species